UUGCCCUAGUAACGGCGAGUGAAGCGGCAACAGCUCAAAUUUGAAAUCUGGCUUCGGCCCGAGUUGUAAUUUGCAGAGGAAGCUUUAGGCGCGGCACUUUCUGAGUCCCCUGGAACGGGGCGCCAUAGAGGGUGAGAGCCCCGUAUAGUUAGAUGCCUAGCCUGUGUAAAGCUCCUUCGACGAGUCGAGUAGUUUGGGAAUGCUGCUCAAAAUGGGAGGUAAAUUUCUUCUAAAGCUAAAUACCGGCCAGAGACCGAUAGCGCACAAGUAGAGUGAUCGAAAGAUGAAAAGCACUUUGAAAAGAGGGUUAAAUAGCACGUGAAAUUGUUGAAAGGGAAGCGCUUGUGACCAGACUUGCGCCGGGCAGAUCAUCCGGUGUUCUCACCGGUGCACUCUGCCCGGCUCAGGCCAGCAUCGGUUCUCGCGGGGGGAUAAAGGCCCUGGGAACGUAGCUCCUCCGGGAGUGUUAUAGCCCGGGGCGUAAUGCCCUCGCGGGGACCGAGGUUCGCGCAUCUGCAAGGAUGCUGGCGUAAUGGUCAUCAGCGACCCGUCUUGAAACACGGACCAAGGAGUCAAGGUUUUGCGCGAGUGUUUGGGUGUAAAACCCGCACGCGUAAUGAAAGUGAACGUAGGUGAGAGCUUCGGCGCAUCAUCGACCGAUCCUGAUGUUUUCGGAUGGAUUUGAGUAGGAGCGUUAAGCCUUGGACCCGAAAGAUGGUGAACUAUGCUUGGAUAGGGUGAAGCCAGAGGAAACUCUGGUGGAGGCUCGCAGCGGUUCUGACGUGCAAAUCGAUCGUCAAAUCUGAGCAU
rnacentral:rRNA from 1 species